rnacentral:rRNA from 1 species
GACGAACGCUGGCGGCGUGCUUAACACAUGCAAGUCGAACGGAAAGGCCCUGCUUUUGUGGGGUGCUUGAGUGGCGAACGGGUGAGUAACAUGUGAGUAACCUGCCCUUGACUUUGGGAUAACUUCAGGUAAAUGGGGCUAAUACCGGAUAGGAGCUCAUGCUGCAUGGUGGGGGUUGGAAAGUUUCGGCGGUUGGGGAUGGACUCGCGGCUUAUCAGCUUGUUGGUGGGGUAGUGGCUUACCAAGGCUUUGACGGGUAGCCGGCCUGAGAGGGUGACCGGCCACAUUGGGACUGAGAUACGGCCCAUACUCCUACGGGAGGCAGCAGUGGGGAAUAUUGCACCAUGGGCGGAAGCCUGAUGCAGCAACGCCGCGUGCGGGAUGACGGCCCUCGGGUUGUAUACCGCUUUCGCCUGUGGCGAAGCGUGAGUGACGGUAAUGGGUACAGAAGCACCGGCUAACUACGUG